AGGUGCGAUGAUACCAGCACUGAUGCACCGGAUCCCAUCAGAACUCCGCAGUGAAGCAUGCUUGGGCGAGAGUAGUACCAGGAUGAGUGACCUCCUGGGAAGUCCUCGUGUUCCACCUC
rfam:Lupinus angustifolius cultivar Tanjil chromosome LG02, whole genome shotgun sequence.